AACGAACGCUGGCGGCAUGCCUAACACAUGCAAGUCGAACGAGACCUUCGGGUCUAGUGGCGCACGGGUGCGUAACGCGUGGGAACCUGCCCUUAGGUUCGGAAUAACUCCCCGAAAGGGGUGCUAAUACCGGAUAAUGUCUUCGGACCAAAGAUUUAUCGCCUUUGGAUGGGCCCGCGUUGGAUUAGCUAGUUGGUAGGGUAAAAGCCUACCAAGGCGACGAUCCAUAGCUGGUCUGAGAGGAUGAUUAGCCACACUGGGACUGAGACACGGCCCAGACUCCUACGGGAGGCAGCAGUGGGGAAUAUUGGACAAUGGGCGAAAGCCUGAUCCAGCAAUGCCGCGUGAGUGAUGAAGGCCUUAGGGUUGUAAAGCUCUUUUACCCGGGAUGAUAAUGACAGUACCGGGAGAAUAAGCUCCGGCUAACUCCGU
rnacentral:rRNA from 1 species